rnacentral:rRNA from 1 species
GAUGAACGCUGGCGGCGUGCUUAACACAUGCAAGUCGAACGGGAAACCUUUUAUUGAAGCUUCGGCAGAUUUAGCUGGUUUCUAGUGGCGGACGGGUGAGUAACGCGUGGGUAACCUGCCUUAUACAGGGGGAUAACAGUCAGAAAUGACUGCUAAUACCCCAUAAGCGCACAGGACCGCAUGGUCUGGGGUGAAAAACUCCGGUGGUAUAAGAUGGACCCGCGUUGGAUUAGCUUGUUGGUGAGGUAACGGCUCACCAAGGCGACGAUCCAUAGCCGGCCUGAGAGGGUGAACGGCCACAUUGGGACUGAGACACGGCCCAGACUCCUACGGGAGGCAGCAGUGGGGAAUAUUGCACAAUGGGGGAAACCCUGAUGCAGCGACGCCGCGUGAAGGAAGAAGUAUCUCGGUAUGUAAACUUCUAUCAGCAGGGAAGAUAGUGACGGUACCUGACUAAGAGGCCCCGGCUAACUACGUGCCAGCCGCCGCGGUAA